rnacentral:rRNA from 1 species
UACAGGGGGUGCAAACGUUGCUCGGAAUCAUUGGGCGUAAAGCGCACGUAGGCGGUCUGUUAUGUCGGAUGUGAAAGCCCUUGGCUCAACUGAGGAAGUGCAUCCGAAACUGGCAGGCUAGAGUACUAAAGAGGAUCGCGGAAUUCCCGGUGUAGAGGUGAAAUUCGUAGAUAUCGGGAGGAACACCGGUGGCGAAGGCGGCGAUCUGGGAUAGUAUACGACGCUGAGGUGCGAAAGCGUGGGAGCAACAGG